UACGAAGGGGGCUAGCGUUGCUCGGAAUCACUGGGCGUAAAGCGCACGUAGGCGGCUUUCUAAGUCAGGGGUGAAAUCCUGGAGCUCAACUCCAGAACUGCCUUUGAUACUGGGGAGCUCGAGUCCGGAAGAGGUGAGUGGAACUCCGAGUGUAGAGGUGAAAUUCGUAGAUAUUCGGAAGAACACCAGUGGCGAAGGCGACACACUGGGCCAUUACUGACGCUGAGGCGCGAAAGCGUGGGGAGCGAACAGG
rnacentral:rRNA from 1 species